AACGUAGGACACAAGCGUUAUCCGGAGUUACUGGGCGUAAAGCGUGCGCAGGCGGCUUUGCAAGACAGAUGUGAAAUCCCCGGGCUCAACCUGGGAACUGCAUUUGUGACUGCAUGGCUAGAGUACGGUAGAGGGGGAUGGAAUUCCGCGUGUAGCAGUGAAAUGCGUAGAUAUGCGGAGGAACACCGAUGGCGAAGGCAAUCCCCUGGACCUGUACUGACGCUCAUGCACGAAAGCGUGGGGAGCAAACAGG
rnacentral:rRNA from 1 species